AGAGGGAGCUGAAUAGAGCCAAGGCUUGGGCACGGCUGUGCAGAGAGGGAAUUCGGCCCCCGGUCUCUUGCAACCAACAGCGCGACUUCUCCCUGCAGGGCAGGGGAGGCAAUAGAGAAGGAGGGCCUCCAAGAAGGUGCAUCUCCCAGCUGUUUACCAAUCCCCACCCAGUGGGGACAGAAGACAACUUAAUUCCACAAAGUUGGACCCCCAAGGGAAGUGGGGAGGUGAGAGGGAAAGAAGGAUGUGGUCUCCAUCUAAAGUCAAGAUCUCUUCCCCAGAAGCUAGAGGUAAACUUGCCCAGCUCGGACUAGGCCUAGAGAGGCUGAAUGAUGUGGCAUCACCCGGAAACAGCGUUUACCCUCCUUAUCCUCUUCCCUUCUGCCUGAAAACACUAAUCCAGAUGAUGGACAAUGAUUCAAUUAGUCAUCUUCUCUGAUGGGGGCUGAGAUCCAGGCUGGGAUCCCGUGGAAGUGCCGGGCAAUCCUCUCUGCAAGUGGCUCUGUGCUCCCUCAUCACCAAGGACCCAUGUCACUUUGGCAUUGCUUCUCCUCAGCUACUUCUCAGUUACUGGUCCUCAUUUGGAGAGAUGGAUAUCCGGCUGGAAGCAUCCCCUACCCGCUGGGAGAGUGGGUCUACAGCUCAGGGUCUACAUGUGGACCAGGGCCUCAGAAUGUGGGUAAAUGUGAGUCAGAUGCACCUGGCACCUCUCUCUCCCCUAAUCCUGCUUCCAAAGGACAAGGGUGGGAAAAGGGGUCCUGGGGAGGAGGCCACUCACCGAGCCAAUGGUGAGCUCCUUCUGGAUCAGCUCCUUCAGCUCCUUCUUGCUCAGGGUGUGCUUGUCACCCUCCCUGCCGGAGUACUUGUGGAAGAUGGCCACGAGGAGGCCAAUGGCCUGAUCCAGGGGGCAUGCCAUGGCUGAGGGCUGGGCUUGGAGCUGGCAGCAGAGGGCCUAGUCAGUGCCAUGGGAGCAAGGACUUCUCACCCACACACCCCAAUAAUGCUGCCUGCACUAGCCCCGCCUCCUUUGGAACCACCCAGUCUCAGGCCACACACAAUGGCAUCAGGAGACAGCCCAGGGCUUGAAGGGGAAGGAGAGAGCACACUAGGGCCAAGGCAAGAGAGGUGGCUUAAGGAUUCUAAGAAGCAUAUAGGAACAGUAGCUUUGGGCACAGCUGAGAACUGUCCUUCAGGGGAUCCAGAAGUUGAGGAGUAUGGCUGGGCAGGGGAGGGGAAUGGAGGCUGCAAAGGCAGCUUAAACACAGCUUCACAGGGCCACACAUGGUGGCAAUGACACACCCAGGGCACUCCCUUCCGCACCCCAAAAGAGCACACCCCAUUGCGAUCCCUUAGCCCAAGGCCUGCCUGGCACAGCACUGCUGCUCCUGACUAUCCCUCCAGCGGGGGAGCGCCACAGAUGGCCCCAGUCUGGAUCCAGCGGCUGAACUGGGCAGGGGAUGGCUGGACCCCCAGCGUGAGGGCAGCUGGCCCUGGAAAGUACCCAGGGCUCCUGGAGAGAACUCACCGGUAGGGAGGCGGCCAAAUGCGACGCGAGCGGUCGAGGGGAUGGGCUGUGUCGCAGUCCGACUGGCCUUAUAGCGGUCGGUGCCCCGGAGGCCAGCUCGGCCAAGCCCACCCCGCCCGCCCAAGUCCCGCCCGCGCCCCACCCUGCGCCGUGGCUUACACAACGCACAUUCGCGGUUUACCCCCUCGACUUUCCACGCCUCCUGCCCGGGGCUGUUCCGGGUUAGGACGGGAUGGGGGAGCCCAGCAGUGCCCACUGCACGCCUGGUGACGAGUCUCCCCUCAUCUGCGCAGCUCAGUUUGCUCAGUUUGCUCUUCGUGACACGUGACUCGGCAAGGGGAGCAGGAGGAGGACUGCGGCGGUCACCCCUGCUUCCUCUGCCAGACCGUGAAUGUGACCCUCGAGCCAGCGCAGCGUCAAUGUGGGCAAGGAGGGCGCCUCACAGGAUGCCGGUGUCCCACAGAGGAUACUCAGGGUCACCCCAGAGGAGAUAGGGGGAGUAGCCAGUGGUGUAAAGGAUAUCUACGGCGCCCAUCCCCCACCAGCAACAAGUUCCUACCAACACCUCCACUCCUUCCCCUCAGUGCCCCAAAUUCCAUUCACUACAGCACCUUUGGUGUUAAUGUGCAUGCACGUGGGAGCCCAGCCCUGUAAGCACCAUUCGUUAUUUACGGGGGAGUGAAGGCCUUUUCAGACCCUCCCCUGAGAAAAGAUUUUGAUGGAGGAGGCAGGGAGAGAAGAAAGCACUGUCCCCCAUAGAUGAUGAGAGUGGUGCUAUUGAAGGGGAAAUGGUGAAGAGGGAGGGGGCUGGUGUGGAGGCCAGACAUGCCCUUCCUACAGGUGCUGCCAAGGUGGCCUCCGGUGAGCUGUGGACAAGUCAGGCCUGCCUGCCUAUCACCGCCCUCAGGAGCCACUCCCAACCCCUCCCAGUGUCCUCCUCUCAAAGCAACUUUCCCUCUUAACUUCCUCUGCAUCCUUGCAGAGUUCCCGCCUGGCCUAACUUCCCCAUUUUCCAGGCAGGCAAAACUAAGCCAUGACAAAACCAAUGACGUCCACACCAAAGAAGGAGAGGAAUGCAGUGGGAGCCCAGGACCCUAACCCCCAGAGGCAGAAGCUGUCUCAACCCACUCAAGGAGAGACCCUUCCUGUGCUCCCCUCUCCCCAGGCCAAGGUAGACAAGACAGCUUCAAAACCAGACUCCCAGCACCUGCGAUGGAAACUUUAUUUCCUCCCAUGGAAGGGUCCAUCUGGGAGGGAGAGGAGGGCAGGGGGCCAAAGAGGGUCUGUGAGAGGAGCAGCCGAGGUCAGCAGCAAAGGGUGGAGGGUGAGGGUGGAGGGCAGCCCUGGUCACUUGUUGUCCUCUAGAAAGAAGUCGUUGUAGGCCAUGCACAGCAUGGUCAGGAACACCGAGUACUCCUUGAAGUCGAUCUCCUGGUCGCUGUUCUUGUCCAGGCUCUUCAUCAAGUCAUCGAUGCUGCUCUCCUUCAUCUUUUGUGGACCCAGGUGGAGAGACAGCUCAGACCCCGCUCCCAGCCCUGCCCUCGCACCACUGCAUGGUGUCAUCCCCACCCCGAAACUUCAGGGUGAGCCCCAGCUGAGUCAAUGACACUGUCAGCAUCUCGACCCCCAGAGUCUGCCCACUGCCCACACCUAGGGAAGGGCCUGGCAUGAGGUAGGGGGUCAGGGACCUGACUCCUGAAUGGAAAUAAAUGACAGCAGGAAUGCUA